rnacentral:tRNA from 1 species
AUCAAGUUAGUUUAGAUAAAAACAUUAGGAUGUGGGCCUAAAGAAAAUGUUCAGUCAUUACCUGAUA